rnacentral:rRNA from 1 species
UACGUAGGGUGCAAGCGUUGUCCGGAAUUAUUGGGCGUAAAGAGCUCGUAGGCGGUUCGUCGCGUCGGCUGUGAAAACCCGGAGCUCAACUCCGGGCCUGCAGUCGAUACGGGCGGACUCGAGUUCGGCAGGGGAGACUGGAAUUCCUGGUGUAGCGGUGAAAUGCGCAGAUAUCAGGAGGAACACCGAUGGCGAAGGCAGGUCUCUGGGCCACUACUGACGCUGAGAAGCGAAAGCAUGGGGAGCGAACAGG